rnacentral:rRNA from 1 species
GAUUGGCUCAGGAUGAACGCUAGCUACAGGCUUAACACAUGCAAGUCGAGGGGCAGCAUGGUCUUAGCUUGCUAAGGCUGAUGGCGACCGGCGCACGGGUGAGUAACACGUAUCCAACCUGCCGUCUACUCUUGGCCAGCCUUCUGAAAGGAAGAUUAAUCCAGGAUGGGAUCAUGAGUUCACAUGUCCGCAUGAUUAAAGGUAUUUUCCGGUAGACGAUGGGGAUGCG